rnacentral:miRNA from 1 species
UCUGUGUGUGUGUGUGUGUGUGUGUGUGUGUGAGAGAGAGAGAGAGAGUGUGUACGUACACACACACACACACACACACACACACACACAGA